ensembl:lncRNA
CGUACGGGGCCCAUAAAGCUGCCAGUAGGGCAGCACGCAGAAGGGUUGGAGGUAGUGAGAGGUUGCUACAGGAUAGUCGUCCUCACGGUCUGCUAGAACCGAGGGGCUCGGUGUUCUACCCCAGAGGAGACGGCCUUCCUUGGAGCCCAGAAGGCGGUAACACAGAAGAGGUCACCUGGAAUUGACAGGACAUUCCGGAAUGAACGCUGGAAGAACCGCGUCUACAAAAUGUCCGCCUGCUUGAGGAAGUCAGUAAGCUUCGAGGAGAAACGCAGACCGGAUUGCAUCCCAAUCAGUUUUUAAUCACGCUAACGGCAGAUGACGACAUUGAGACCUACCACAAGUGCUCUGGGGCCUCAUCAAUCAGAACGCCGUCAUGUUUUCCAAGAAGCCGGGCCGAACAACUCUCAUUGAACACCACGUUCGCACCUGGCCCAUCGUGUUGGUUCCUAAAACGAAAGGUAGUCUGUUUCUGCAUUGAUUUCCAGGGGGUGAAUGACAGUUUGUUCGACGCCUACCCCAUUCCAAGGGUGGAUGAGCUCAUUGACUGGUUGGGAAAGGCCUGGUAUAUCAGCACGCUGGACCUGACCCAGGGAUAUUGGCAGGUACCCUUGGCAGCCUCUUCCUGGGAGAAGUCGGAAUUCACCAAUACCGGGUCCUCCAAUUCGGUCUCCAUCAAGCCCCGCCCACAUUCAGCAGCUGAUGGACCGUGUCAUCCCCCCCAAAAGUACGCAGCGGCCUAUUUGGAUGACAUCAUCAUCCACAGCCAAGUUUGGGAAGAGCACCUGAGGCGCCUCCAGGUGGAACUGGAUUUGUUCAGGUACUGAUGCUGGUGCAGACGGCUGCCUGUGACACUGGACUAAGGGUCAUCAUGUCCCAGAUACACAAUGGGGAGGAACACCCCAUGUACAUAAGCAGGAAGUUGAUACCCCGAGAAGAUAAGUACCUGAUUGUCAAGAAAGAGUAUCUAGCUGUCAAUUUGGUUUCAGGGGCGGCGCAUGGGAACGCGGACGCCCUAUCGAGAAGGCAGACACAUUGCACUCAUGACCGCCCCCUCGCCAACAGGGCUGUGGGGGGGUGUACCGCGGACAAGCCACCAGGGGGAUACUUGAGGCCUGGUGACAGAUGGAGUCUACAUCACACGGCGGUAGCUGCCUCUACUGGAUGUUGCAGGUCUCGAUGGGUUCUCUGGCCCGGACUAAUUGGGGCUGAGAGAGAAAUUACGAUGUCGGUUAGUGGAGACACUGGCUGGCGCCAAGGACCCAUUCAUCAUCCUCACCGACCAUCGGAACCUGGCGUGCAUACGGACAGCGAGGAGGCUGAAUCUGCGCCAAGCAAGGGAAUAAGGGACCGGCUGCUGACCUGGGGGCACACAGCUGUCGUUGUUGGACAUCCAGGUUGCUGAGGCACUACUACAGCAGGUCUUCCGGCAUUAUGGCCUUCUAGAGGACAUCGUCUCUGACCGUGGGCCCUAAUUCACAUCACGGGUAUGGACAGCCUUAAUGGAGAAGUUGGGAUCACAGUCAGCCUCCCUUCUGGGUAAAGGCCUCAGUCCAACGGGAAUGUGGAAAUGAUGGAGCUGGGGAGGUUCCUGAGGAGUUACUGCCAGGACCGGCAGGGAGAGUGGGCCCUGUUCCUUCCAUGGGUGGAGUAAGCCCAGAAUUCAUUAUGUCACUCCUGCACCAGGCUGACUCCCUUGCAGUGUGUUCAGGGUUUUCAUCCGACUCUGUCUCCGUAGACCCCUGGCCAGACCGAAGCUCCUGAGGUUGAUGAGUGGUUCAGGUAUGCAGAAGAGGUGUGAAACGAAGCUUACAAGACUCCAGUGUGCCGUCCACCAUCAGAAGGAGCAGGCAGAUCGCCACCGCAAUGAGACCUCCGUGUUCCAUCCAGGGGAUUGUGUCUGGCUCUCUACCAGGAACCUCCCACUCCGCCUGCAUUGCAAUAAGCUGAUCUCCUGGUUUGUAGGGCCGUUUAAGGUUCUCCGGAGGGUCAACGAGUUGACGUAUAGGUUACAGCUUCCCAGUGGCAUCUCGCCUUCUUUUCAUGCCUCCCUUCUUAGGCAGGUAGUUCCUGGUCCCCUUCAUAUAAGCCCUUGGGCUUCCAACCACACAUGCACACUGUUUUAAUUUUUUAUCUGUAUUGUUGCCUAUCACUUGUUUUCUUUGGUGCAAAUAAUAAAUCAAACAAAACUGUUCCAUUUACUGUCAUUGACAUUCAAGUGGCAAUUUUUGUAAAUAAUAUGACCCUGAGUGAUUGGGCUGUCUUGAGCUGUUAUUUUAGUGAGACAAUCAGCAGCUGCCAGCUGACAAUUAUUCCAGCAGAGUUGCAACAAUAUGCAUGCAUUUAACCCCCGAGACGCCAUCCCGGGGUUCUCAAUAGCUGCAAUUAGCAGCCCAUUGUGAU